rnacentral:rRNA from 1 species
GGGAGCCCCGAGAUGGGUACUGAGACAACGACCCAGGCCUUACGAGGCGCAGCAGGCGCGAAACCUCCGCAAUACACGAAAGUGUGACGGGGUUACCCAAAGUGGUCAAUUAGAUUCUGUGGUAGGUGAGUAAUGUCCCCUGCUAGAAAGGAGAGGGCAAGGCUGGUGCCAGCCGCCGCGGUAAAACCAGCUCUUCAAGUGGUCGGGAUAAUUAUUGGGCUUAAAGUGUCCGUAGCCGGUUUAGUAAGUUCCUGGUAAAAUCAGGUAGCUUAACUAUCUGCAUGCUAGGAAUACUGCUAUACUAGAGGGCGGGAGAGGUCUGAGGUACUACAGGGGUAGGGGUGAAAUCUUAUAAUCCUUGUAGGACCACCAGUGGCGAAGGCGUCAGACUGGAACGCGCCUGACGGUGAGGGACGAAAGCCAGGGGAGCGAACCGGAUUAGAUACCCGGGUAGUCCUGGCCGUAAACGAUGCAUACUAGGUGAUGGCACGGCCAUGAGCCGUGUCAGUGCCGUAGGGAAACCGUUAAGUGUGCCGCCUGGG